rnacentral:misc_RNA from 1 species
UUAACUAUUAAGUUUUUUCUCAGACUACACUGUAUACUUGGGUUUAAAUCCUCCGGCGGGAGUACCGCCGAGGCAACAGAGGUAUGGUAGACAAAGGGUGGGAGAUGUACCCCGAAGGGCAGGUUCUCUCUAAUGAUCCUUCCGCAGGUUCACCUACGGAAA